AACCAAUUCAUCUGUGCAAAAAUCACUUAGCUGCGUGUUAUUCACCCUUUUAUUCCUUAACUGGAAUGGUUAUUCUGUGUAUACCCUUGGUAUAUCUAGCUUUUAAGUAACGCAAAGAGCUUCAGCUUGUUCCGAAAUAAAAUUGACCCAACAAUAGUUAGAGAAUGCAAACUAUGCGGCUGAUGCUUUCCAAUUCCGACAAUAGAUCUCUUAUCAGGCUCUCUUCAUAUUUGUAUUCUUAUUUUCGGACACCAUUGAAUUUUUUCUCACUAUCGGCACCGUCUCGUGCUUCCUCCACCGCAACCAACUUGUUCACAUCUCCGUGGUCUUCCUCUCAACGUCGGGGAAUCAAAGUAUCUGGCUCUGAUAUUAGAGUUGGAAAUAUCAUUGGAAAACAAGGUUCCUUUGCUCUUCGGUUAUUGAAUUUUACUAUGGUUUCAAUUCGACAUGUAUGCUUUCUAACAGAUUCAUUUUGCAUUCUUAUUGUGUUGGUCGUGCUUGCUUCCAGG